AUUGAACUCUGGCGGCAGGCCUACACAUGCAAGUCGAACGGUAACAGGGAUCAGCUUGCUGAUUCGCUGACGAGUGGCGGACGGGUGAGUAAUGUCUGGGAAACUGCCUGAUGGAGGGGGAUAACUACUGGAAACGGUAGCUAAUACCGCAUAACGUCGCAAGACCAAAGAGGGGGACCUUCGGGCCUCUUGCCAUCGGAUGUGCCCAGAUGGGAUUAGCUAGUAGGUGGGGUAACGGCUCACCUAGGCGACGAUCCCUAGCUGGUCUGAGAGGAUGACCAGCCACACUGGAACUGAGACACGGUCCAGACUCCUACGGGAGGCAGCAGUGGGGAAUAUUGCACAAUGGGCGCAAGCCUGAUGCAGCCAUGCCGCGUGUAUGAAGAAGGCCUUCGGGUUGUAAAGUACUUUCAGCGGGGAGGAAGGGAGUAAAGUUAAUACCUUUGCUCAUUGACGUUACCCGCAGAAGAAGCACCGGCUAACUCCGUG
rnacentral:rRNA from 1 species